rnacentral:rRNA from 1 species
UACGUAGGCAGCAAGCGUUGUUCGGAGUUACUGGGCGUAAAGGGUGCGUAGGCGGCUUUUUAAGUUUGGUGUGAAAUCUCCCGGCUCAACGGGGGAGGGUGCGCCGAAUACUGAGAGGCUAGAGUGUGGGAGAGGAAAGUGGAAUUCCUGGUGUAGCGGUGAAAUGCGUAGAUAUCAGGAGGAACACCGGUGGUGUAAACGGCUUUCUGGACCAUAACUGACGCUGAGGCACGAAAGCGUGGGUAGCAAACAGG